rnacentral:rRNA from 1 species
UACGUAGGGUGCGAGCGUUGUCCGGAAUUACUGGGCGUAAAGAGCUCGUAGGUGGUUUGUCACGUCGUCUGUGAAAUUCCGGGGCUUAACCUCGGACGUGCAGGCGAUACGGGCAAUACUUGAGUGCUGUAGGGGAGACUGGAAUUCCUGGUGUAGCGGUGAAAUGCGCAGAUAUCAGGAGGAACACCAAUGGCGAAGGCAGGUCUCUGGGCAGUUACUGACGCUGAGGAGCGAAAGCAUGGGUAGUGAACAGGAUUAGA